AAUGUAAGUCAUUCUAGCAUUUCCCACAUUCAUAUUGAUGUUAAUGAAUCUAGAUAGACAUCAAUAUGAAUGUGGGAAAUGCUAGAAUGACUUACACAUU
rnacentral:misc_RNA from 1 species